UACGGGGGGAGCAAGCGUUGUUCGGAUUUACUGGGCGUAAAGGGCGCGUAGGCGGCCAGUGCAAGUCAGUUGUGAAAUCUCCGAGCUUAACUCGGAACGGUCAGCUGAUACUGUUUUGCUAGAGUGCAGAAAGGGCAACCGGAAUUCUUGGUGUAGCGGUGAAAUGCGUAGAUAUCAAGAGGAACACCUGAGGCGAAGGCGGGUUGCUAGGCUGACACUGACGCUGAGGCGCGAAAGCUAGGGUAGCAAACGGG
rnacentral:rRNA from 1 species